ensembl:lncRNA
UGGAAUUCUCUUUCUCUCCCUCUUUCUGAUAUCCAGCACUAAAUAUAUUAAUUACAUACCUACAGAAAUCACAGUAGGAUACUUGGACAACUGCUUCCAUAACUUAGCCUAUUUUGACUGAUACAAACAGAAGUGACCAUGAAGCCUGUGAGUGAGAUGGUAUCUGAAAUGAGAGAGAGUAAAGAGAAAUCGAGGCCCUCCCAGAAAAGGGUCAGGACACCCCUGGUCCUAUGAGCAGCUAUCCAUUCGUGUCGGUCCAGCAAUUUUUAGUAUCAGCCUCUAUCUGCAGUAAAGAACAAAGCUACAGUGGAAAUGACAGCUUCCCUAGAAGCCAUCUAAGUACUUUCCUACGCUCUGGGUUUGUUUGUUGUUUUUAGAAAGUUAGAGAACAGAAAACAUGGGCUACACCUGACAAGAUUCUGAGUUGAGCUCAUUUUUUAGCAGAUGUCAUGCUGUGGCUGACAGCUUUGCAGCCAGAAGAGUGAUUUUGGACAAGGGAAGGGAGAAUGGGACAGUAUUGCAACAUUUAAUAUUUUAUUUGCAACCACAUUGAUUUUUUUACAAGAAAUACCUUGUGUUAUAACAAAGAUUAUUGUUAUUUUUAUUGAAAAACCACGAACUUAAAGGGAUACUAGGUUUAUGAAAAUGAAAAGAAUCAGUUUCGUGUUAAAGAGUGGACAGUUUAUGUGUGCUUGUAAUUAUGGAAAGACUUAGAGAUGGGUAAAAAAAAGUGGAAAAGUAAAGAAAACUGCAUAUUUAUUGAGUUCUUCUUAAAAACUUUCUAGAAGCAGUGUAGAUAAAAGAAAGGAACUAUGUUUCUAGAACUAUUGUGAGAAUUAGGGAAGCCAAAGUCCAUAAAAUCUUAUUUUUCAUAAUGGCUAAUUGGAUGCAGAAAAAAACUCGUAUUUUCAAAGAAAUAUUGAUUUCCAAAGAUAAGAAUACUUGGGAUUUUAUAUUAUGCAUUUAUUUGAGAAACUGAUUUAAAUAGGCCAAGCCUCCUGUUUCUGUACAUAUGGCAGCCCAGAAAUUAUUACCGAAAAGAUGUAGGUUACAAGGACAGCAUAAGCUUGUUUUUUCAUCAACAGACAGAAAUGAUAAAUCUAUUUAUACAGGAUAGCAGUCACGAGAAAAACAAAAUGGAUUGAAUCAGAUCAAUUGUUUUCAUAUGCAAUACAUAAAUCAUUUUAAACUAAAAACUGCAUUUAUUUCUGUUAAUUGGCACCCGUUGAAAAUCAGUGCGAUGGGAUCAUUUGGUACUCCAUGCUGUUCUACGUGACCCAUAUUACUUGGUUAAUUUUCUGCUUCAGGAACGUUGUAUAGCUACCACCAAAGUAGCCCAGGCAGAGUCAGGAAAGCAUAAUUUAUGCAGCCUUCCAAAAUGCUAUUGAGGUUAUACUUAUUUAAAAAUACUUAAGCAUUAUUAGAAUGGGAAAUCUAAAAGUCAGGAGUGAAACAGUACAUUGUAUAUAGUUUGAUAUUUAAUAGGUACACAGAGGGAAGUACAAACAGCAACUUAUUCUUGUUUUUAUUCCCUCAUAUUUACAUUCUAUUUCUGUAUCCCCCAGUGAACUGGGGUAAGAUGGAUUGUGCUCUUCUCUAAUUCCUAAGCAUUAUAUACUGGAUGGCUGAGAGUUGCACUGAGUACUGAAAUUAUGCCAGUAUAAAUAGAAUAUUGCCUUUUACUUUUCAACAACUUGAGUUGCUCCGUGAAAGGAGCAAUUUCCCCACAUACCUGAGCAUCUGGAGACAUUUCUUUUAUUUACAAUUUGACUACCAGACAAGUCAUUAAGAAUUUCAGAAAUUGCUAGCUACGUUUUUAAGAUAGGAAGUCCAAACUAAGUUAUGAUUCAGAAAAUCCAUUUGGCUAAAGUGAAAUUUUAUGCAAUUAAAUCCACAUAGUAAAUAUAUUGGCAAAUUAUGUAGACUGUUCCCUAGCUUUGGGACUAUUUCCAACAUAACUAAGAUGGAAAGAAAUCCUGCUUGUGUAAAGUUACUGCUUCUUCCACACGGAGUUUAGACACUGUGAUUCUGCAAUGGCUUAUUGUGCUCGAGGUCCAGAGCUGAUGGAGUGGAUGUAAGGCCCUUUUAAAGUUUCUGGUCCCUUAUAUUUAGCCUGAAGGCACUUAUUUCUCUUAAGUUGACUGUUCUACGUUCACUUAAGAGUGUAAUUAUUUUUAAUAAAAUGCAAACAUCAAUUUAAUUUUGGAUUUUUUUAGAACCACUACUCACCCAUUUGGCAUUUUUUGUGUGUGUUGUGAAUUAGAGAAAGGUGACUUUGGAGUUGACAGACUCUGCCAGCACCCCCUGCCCCCCACUUGUGUCCUCAUCUGGGCACCGUUUUGCAGCACAAUCGGUUCACCUGUUCAUGACAGCUCUGUAUUUUUCAUUAGUCUCUAAUUUAAUAUUUGUCACAUUAUUUCUUGCACAUACUGUUGAUUUUAAGCUUUAAACUAUACCUAGAAUGUGCUGAUUUUGUCGAGGAUGUUGUAAUAAAUUAUAGAAAAUUAUCUGAUUUAUACU